rnacentral:misc_RNA from 1 species
CGGGGAAAACGAGUCGCGGUGGUUACGAACACAGUAUCGGACAUGUUGCCGAGCAAAAGGUUGUUCACAUCGAACGAGGCACAGUUAAAAACGGACGUUUCAACGAAUCGGCGGAAUUAAUCGGUCUGUCGAGGCUAAUCGAAUGCUGGUUCGAGCGAGAGAUGCCACUUAAGGGACGGAAUAUGCUCGAUAUCUUAAUUUCGGACGGUGUCGUCGCGUGGAGCGUUUCAGUCAGGCGAAAUGCACCCUGGAACCGGUUAACGCGACACGCUGCAAACGGAUCUUUAAUUUCGUAUCGAGGGAUGCGUUCGGUGAAACGUGACUUGGAUUAUUCGUGGAAAGUGAACGUUCGAAGAUUACGUAGUUUGUCUUAAUUCUUGGAAUAAAUCUUGACCAUUGUGGUUUCGCUCGCGAUUGGAAUUUAAAUUUCAGAUCUGCGAGGCUUAGAAGUUCAGAAGAUUAUUUUAUCGAAUGGAAAAUAUAAAGAUACGAAGAUAAAUAAUAAGGAAUUGUAAUGUUUAGGAGUAAUUGAAAGGUACACGAUGGAUUUAAAAUUCUGAAAGUGGAUUUACAGUGCAACUGAAGGAUCUUUCAGAAGACUAUUCAGC